GAGUUUGAUCCUGGCUCAGAUUGAACGCUGGCGGCAUGCCUUACACAUGCAAGUCGAACGGCAGCACGGGAGCUUGCUCCUGGUGGGCGAGUGGCGAACGGGUGAGUAAUGCAUCGGAACGUAUCCUGGAGUGGGGGAUAACGUAGCGAAAGUUACGCUAAUACCGCAUAUUCUGUGAGCAGGAAAGCGGGGGACCUUCGGGCCUCGCGCUCUUGGAGCGGCCGAUGUCGGAUUAGCUAGUUGGUGAGGUAAAGGCUCACCAAGGCGACGAUCCGUAGCAGGUCUGAGAGGAUGAUCUGCCACACUGGAACUGAGACACGGUCCAGACUCCUACGGGAGGCAGCAGUGGGGAAUUUUGGACAAUGGGGGCAACCCUGAUCCAGCCAUGCCGCGUGAGUGAAGAAGGCC
rnacentral:rRNA from 4 species